UCCAGCAGUAGUCAGCCGUCCCAGACACUCCUGUGACGGUGUUACCCUGCUGGGAGAGUAAUGUGUGCUCUUGGCCUGGCCACUGCGUCACCGUUCUGGUGGCCUGUGGCUCUGGUGUAAGAAGGAACUUUGCUUCCCCGAGAGAGCGCUAAGCGUCCGCUCUGACGGCUUAGCUCCAGUGUGGGAGCAGACAGC
ensembl:snoRNA LOC120097670 small nucleolar RNA SNORA74